rnacentral:rRNA from 1 species
UAGCUAGUUGGUGAGGUAAUGGCUCACCAAGGCGACGAUCGGUAGCCGGACUGAGAGGUUGAACGGCCACAUUGGGACUGAGAUACGGCCCAGACUCCUACGGGAGGCAGCAGUGGGGAAUAUUGCACAAUGGGGGAAACCCUGAUGCAGCGACGCCGCGUGGAGGAAGAAGGUCUUCGGAUUGUAAACUCCUGUUGUUGGGGAAGAUAAUGACGGUACCCAACAAGGAAGUGACGGCUAACUACGUGCCAGCAGCCGCGGUAAAACGUAGGUCACAAGCGUUGUCCGGAAUUACUGGGUGUAAAGGGAGCGCAGGCGGGAAGACAAGUUGGAAGUGAAAUCUAUGGGCUCAACCCAUAAACUGCUUUCAAAACUGUUUUUCUUGAGUAGUGCAGAGGUAGGCGGAAUUCCCGGUGUAGCGGUGGAAUGCGUAGAUAUCGGGAGGAACACCAGUGGCGAAGGCGGCCUACUGGGCACCAACUGACGCUGAGGCUCGAAAGUGUGGGUAGCAAACAGGAUUAGAUACCCUGGUAGUCCACACCGUAAACGAUGAUUACUAGGUGUUGGAGGAUUGACCCCUUCAGUGCCGCAGUUAACACAAUAAGUAAUCCACCUGGGGAGUACGACCGCAAGGUUGAAACUCAAAGGAAUUGACGGGGGCCCGCACAAGCAGUGGAGUAUGUGGUUUAAUUCGACGCAACGCGAAGAACCUUACCAAGUCUUGACAUCCCUUGACAGACAUAGAAAUAUGUAUUCUCUUCGGAGCAAGGAGACAGGUGGUGCAUGGUUGUCGUCAGCUCGUGUCGUGAGAUGUUGGGUUAAGUCCCGCAACGAGCGCAACCCUUAUGGUCAGUUACUACGCAAGAGGACUCUGGCCAGACUGCCGUUGACAAAACGGAGGAAGGUGGGGAUGACGUCAAAUCAUCAUGCCCUUUAUGACUUGGGCUACACACGUACUACAAUGGCGUUAAACAAAGAGAAGCAAGACCGCGAGGUGGAGCAAAACUCAGAAACAACGUCCCAGUUCGGACUGCAGGCUGCAACUCGCCUGCACGAAGUCGGAAUUGCUAGUAAUCGUGGAUCAGCAUGCCACGGUGAAUACGUUCCCGGGCCUUGUACACACCGCCCGUCACACCAUGAGAGCCGGGGGGACCCGAAGUCGGUAGUCUAACCGCAAGGAGGACGCCGCCGAAGGUAAAACUGGUGAUUGGGGCGAAGUCGUAACAAGGUAGCCGUACUAGUACGAGGAUUA